UACGUAGGCAGCAAGCGUUGUUCGGAAUUACUGGGCGUAAAGAGUGUGUAGGCGGUGCUCUAAGUUCGUUGUGAAAUCUCCCGGCUUAACUGGGAGGGUGCGGCGGAAACUGGAGUGCUUGAGCGCGGGAGAGGAAAGCGGAAUUCCUGGUGGUAGCGGUGAAAUGCGUAGAUAUCAGGAGGAACACCUGUGGUGUAGACGGCUUUCUGGACCGUAGCUGACGCUGAGACACGAAAGCGUGGGUAGCAAACAGG
rnacentral:rRNA from 1 species